UACGUAGGGUCCAAGUGUUAUCCGGAAUCACUGGGCGUAAAGCGUCUGCAGGUGGUUUCCUAAGUCCACUGUUAAACCUUGAGGCUCAACCUCAAAUCUGCAUUGGAAACUAGGAGACUUGAGUAUAGUAGGGGUAGAGGGAAUUUCCAGUGGAGCGGUGAAAUGCGUAGAUAUUGGAAAGAACACCGAUGGCGAAGGCACUCUACUGGGCUAUUACUGACACUCAGAGACGAAAGCUAGGGGAGCAAAUGGG
rnacentral:rRNA from 1 species